CAGCAGCCGCGGUAACACGGAGGGUGCAAGCGUUAUCCGGAUUUAUUGGGUUUAAAGGGUCCGUAGGCGGACUUAUAAGUCAGUGGUGAAAGCCUGUCGCUUAACGAUAGAACUGCCAUUGAUACUGUAAGUCUUGAGUAUAUUUGAGGUAGCUGGAAUAAGUAGUGUAGCGGUGAAAUGCAUAGAUAUUACUUAGAACACCAAUUGCGAAGGCAGGUUACCAAGAUAUAACUGACGCUGAGGGACGAAAGCGUGGGUAGCGAACAGGAUUAGAUACCCCGGUAGUCCCUGUCUCUUAUAA
rnacentral:rRNA from 1 species